rnacentral:rRNA from 1 species
AACGAACGCUGGCGGCGCGCCUAAUACAUGCAAGUCGAGCGAGAAAGUGUAGCAAUACACUUGUAAAGCGGCGAACGGGUGAGGAAUACAUGGGUAAUCUACCAUCGAGUGGGGAAUAACCAACCGAAAGGUUGGCUAAUACCGCGUACGCCUCCGAGUCUUCGGGUUCGGAGGGAAAGCUUCACUGUGAGUGUAGCGCUCUUUGAUGAGCUCAUGUCCUAUCAGCUUGUUGGUAGGGUAAUGGCCUACCAAGGCUUUGACGGGUAGCUGGUCUGAGAGGACGAUCAGCCACACUGGCACUGCGACACGGUCCAGACUCCUACGGGAGGCAGCAGUAAGGAAUAUUGCGCAAUGGGCGAAAGCCUGACGCAGCGACGCCGCGUGGGGGAUGAAGGUCUUCGGAUUGUAAACCCCUUUCGGGAGGGAAGAUGGAGCGAGCAAUCGUUCGGACGGUACCUCCAGAAGCAGCCACGGCCAACUUCGUGCCAGCAGCCGCGGUAAUACGAAGGUGGCAAGCGUUGUUCGGAUUCACUGGGCGUACAGGGUGUGUAGGCGGUUUGGUAAGCCUUCUGUUAAAGCUUCGGGCCCAACCCGGAAAGCGCAGAGGGUACUGCCAGGCUAGAGGGUGGGAGAGGAGCGCGGAAUUCCCGGUGUAGCGGUGAAAUGCGUAGAGAUCGGGAGGGAAGGCCGGUGGCGAAGCGGCGAUCUGGAACAUACCUGACGCUGAGACACGAAAGCGUGGGGAGC